CUCCGAUGAUGUAGAACUCCCAUGCAUAGGAAGUGCCGUAUGACGCUUCGCAAACGCAGCGGUUCC
rnacentral:snoRNA from 1 species